GACGAACGCUGGCGGCGUGCCUAAUACAUGCAAGUUGAGCGCUGAAGGUUGGUACUUGUACCGACUGGAUGAGCAGCGAACGGGUGAGUAACGCGUGGGGAAUCUGCCUUUGAGCGGGGGACAACAUUUGGAAACGAAUGCUAAUACCGCAUAAAAACUUUAAACACAAGUUUUAAGUUUGAAAGAUGCAAUUGCAUCACUCAAAGAUGAUCCCGCGUUGUAUUAGCUAGUUGGUGAGGUAAAGGCUCACCAAGGCGAUGAUACAUAGCCGACCUGAGAGGGGGAUCGGCCACAUUGGGACUGAGGCACGGCCCAAACUCCUACGGGAGGCAGCAGUAGGGAAUCCUCGGCAAUGGACGAAAGUCUGACCGAGCAACGCCGCGUGAGUGAAGAAGGUUUUCGGAUCGUAAAACUCUGUUGGUAGAGAAGAACGUUGGUGAGAGUGGAAAGCUCAUCAAGUGACGGUAACUACCCAGAAAGGGACGGCUAACUACGUGCCAGCCGCCGCCGUAA
rnacentral:rRNA from 1 species